rnacentral:tRNA from 1 species
GGGGGUAUAGCUCAGUUGGGAGAGCGCUUGCAUGGCAUGCAAGAGGUCAUCGGUUCGAUCCCGAUUACCUCCACCA